UCCAGGGUAGCCUAGUGGACAUGGCACCUGCCCGUAAGCAGAAGGUUGUGGGUUCGAUUCCCGCCCCUGGAC